AUGGUAGCCUUAUUGGGGGUUCCAGGUAUUAUUAUUAUUAUUAUUAUUAUUAUUAUUAUUAUUAUUAUUAAAGAGAGGUCUUAUUCCAUCUUUUCUUCACAGGUGGCAAAGUUAUUGAUUGUUCUACAUGUGCACACUCCUGAUCUGGAAGAUAAAUUUGGAAGUGCAAGCUGCUCUAUCUUCACCUGUCAAGCAGUCCAAAAUGGUACCUUCUGGAACUGGAUCCUGAGCUAUCUGCCUUUCCAGCUGAUCUGUUCCAGAGUUCGCUGAAUGAUCAGUUUGCCCACUGAUGAAGCUUGGCUUGAGUUCUAAUCAUUGCCAAUCCAACUGUCCUCCGUCCGAACCAGCAUUGUCAAACUUUUCAAACUUCAUGGGACUUCUCUCUACAUUUUCAUCACUGAACACGUUGAACAGCAUCUGGACCACAACAGAGUGCUGAGGGACCGCACAUGCUACCUCUUGCCAGCUGGAGAAGAACCCAUUAAAAAGUACUCUCUAGGUAUGGAUUUUCAAUUGACUCGAGAAAGCAUUUAAUAGUUAUUCUGUUCAGACGAACUUUCCCAAGCUUAGCAUACCAAGCUAUAUGAAUCAAUUAUAUUUACUAUAUCAAUUAUACCACUCAUUUUCCCAAAAGGAGUUGCGUUCAUGAAAAACCUAUGGUAGGUAGAUACCCACUAAAUUUAUGAUUAUUUUUCCGUAUAAUGUUAAAAGCAAGGAUUCCAGCUGUCUGUGUCCCCUGACUGCUCUCUGAUCUCAGCUGAACUCACUGUGAAUCUCCUGGAAGUGGGGCCGCUGGUGACAUGGAGAGCAUGAGUGAUGUGCGCAGCUCUCCUUCUCCUCCAAGCGUUUUCUGAAUGCAAGUAGACAUAAAACUUGAAUAGGGAUUGCGUGAGGUGAGAUGGCAAUGAACCAAGUCAUAAAAAGUGUGUGUGGUGAGGGGAUGCUCAUUGUGUUCAGUGUUGAGGAGGAAUAGUAGCAACCUUCUGUGGUUCAAUUGAUGAAGGAUAUGCUAUGAGUACAAUGA
rnacentral:lncRNA from 1 species